rnacentral:rRNA from 1 species
UCCGUAGGUGAACCUGCGGAAGGAUCAUUACAAGUGAGGCUACCGAACGUUGGAAACAGCGGUUAGGAGCUUACACCCACCCGUGUUUACAUACUAUUGUUGCUUUGGCGGGCCGUGGCCUCCACUGCGGGCUCUGCUCGUGUGUGCCCGCCAGAGGACCAAACUCUGAAUGUUAGUGAUGUCUGAGUACUAUCUAAUAGUUAAAACUUUCAACAACGGAUCUCUUGGUUCUGGCAUCGAUGAAGAACGCAGCGAAAUGCGAUAAGUAAUGUGAAUUGCAGAAUUCAGUGAAUCACCGAAUCUUUGAACGCACAUUGCGCCCUGUGGUAUUCCGCAGGGCAUGCCUGUUCGAGCGUCAUUUAACCACUCACGCCUAGCGUGGUAUUGGGGCACGCGGUCUCGCGGCCCUCAAAAUUAGUGGCGGCGCCGGUGGGCUCUAAGCGUAGUACAUACUCCCGCUAUAGAGUUCCCCCGGUGGCUCGCCAGAACCCCCAAUUUUUUACAGGUUGACCUCGGAUCAGGUAGGGAUACCCGCUGAACUUAAGCAUAUC